CCCUUAGAUGUUCUGGGCUGCACGCGCGCUACACUGACAUACUCAGCAAGUUUCCUUGCCUGAAAGGGUUGGGUAAUCUUGUUAGUGUAUGUCGUGAUGGGGAUAGAAUAUUGUAAUUAUUGCUCUUUAACGAGGAAUUCCUAGUAAGCGUAAGUCAUCAGCUUGCGUUGAUUACGUCCCUGCCCUUUGUACACACCGCCCGUCGCUCCUACCGAUUGGGUGAUCCGGUGAAUGAUUCGGACUCUGGCUAUGCUAGCUACUAGCUACGUCAGGGAAAGUUUUGUGAACCUUAUCACUUGGAGGAAGGAGAAGUCGUAACA
rnacentral:rRNA from 1 species